GAUGAACGCUGGCGGCGUGCCUAAUACAUGCAAGUCGAGCGAACAGACGAGGAGCUUGCUCCUCUGACGUUAGCGGCGGACGGGUGAGUAACACGUGGAUAACCUACCUAUAAGACUGGGAUAACUUCGGAAACCGGAGCUAAUACCGGAUAAUAUAUUGAAUCGCAUGGUUCAAUAGUGAAAGACGGUUUUGCUGUCACUUAUAGAUGGAUCCGCGCCGCAUUAGCUAGUUGGUAAGGUAACGGCUUACCAAGGGAACGAUGCGUAGCCGACCUGAGAGGGUGAUAGGCCACACUGGAACUGAGACACGGUCCAGAGUCCUACGGGAGGCAGCAGUAGGGAAUCUUCCGCAAUGGGCGAAAGCCUGACGGAGCAACGCCGCGUGAGUGGUGAAGGUCUUCGGAUCGUAAAACUCUGUUAUUAGGGAAGAACAAAUGUGUAAGUAACUAUGCACGUCUUGACGGUACCUAAUCAGAAAGCCACGGCUAACUACGUG
rnacentral:rRNA from 1 species